rnacentral:rRNA from 1 species
CCUACGGGAGGCUGCAGUGGGGAAUAUUGGUCAAUGGGCGCAAGCCUGACCCAGCAACGCCGCGUGAAGGAUGAAGGCUUUCGGGUUGUAAACUUCUUUUGUCAGGGACGAAGCAAGUGACGGUACCUGACGAAUCAGCCACGGCUAACUACGUGCCAGCAGCCGCGGUAAUACGUAGGUGGGAAGUGUUAUCCGGAUUUACUGGGUGUAAAGGGCGUGUAGGCGGGACUGCAAGUCAGAUGUGAAAACCACGGGCUCAACCUGUGGCCUGCAUUUGAAACUGUAGUUCUUGAGUACUGGAGAGGCAGACGGAAUUCCUGGUGUAGCGGUGAAAUGCGUAGAUAUUAGGCGGAACACCAGUGGCGAAGGCGGUCUGCUGGACAGCAACUGACGCUGAGGCACGAAAGCGUGGGGAGCGAACAGGAUUAGAUACCCUAGUAGUC